UGAAUAGUGAAAUUGUGGAAGCAUGUUUAGUAAACAUGAUAUAUAGGAACCAUGUUUAAGUUUUGAAUACAACUGCAAAACAAGGCAUUGGGUAGCGUUUAUUUUGCAUUAACGAAAGUCUUACAAGCAUUUAUAAGUAAUUAAUUACUUUUUAUUUGCAAAUAUAUGCUGAUUGAGUCUCAGAAUAUUGGAUUCAUUACAUGCAUAUAUAUUAAAAAUAACAAGGCUGCAAACACCGGAAAAGAAGGAGCUGCAGAUACGUUCUUGAUUAACAAACAUUUUUGUUGAAGAAAAUUGAACUUUGAUCGUCAGGGCUAGCAUGAAAAGAUCCCCGGCGGACAUCGCGGUGGUACGUGAUUAUUUCCGUUGCAUGUUGUUGGAGGAGUUUGAGGAUUUGCACCGCAACUCUCACUAGUUAAUUGGCGAGCGAAAAUGGAGGAGCAGUGGAAAGUAAGAAUUGCUGUGGCCAAGACCAACACAAUACAUACUAUGCGAAUUGCCUUCAUUCUGGAUAUAUUUAAUUUCACUGAAUGAGUUGCUUCAUGCUCUUCCCACUUAUUUAUAGGGAGGAAAACCUCCUCUUCUUCAGCAGAAAAUAUCAUUAAAAAACAAUUGCCACGUCAGUGAUCAUAAAUUCAUGAAUUUAGCUGUAUAUUAUUAAUACUAUAAUCUCAAUAUUAC
rnacentral:lncRNA from 1 species